GUGUCAGCCGCCGCGGUAAUACGGAGGGUGCAAGCGUUAUCCGGAUUCACUGGGUUUAAAGGGUGCGUAGGCGGGCUUGUAAGUCAGUGGUGAAAGCCCGGGGCUUAACUCCGGAACUGCCGUUGAUACUGCAAGCCUUGAGUACAGUUGAGGUGGGCGGAAUACAUCAUGUAGAGGUGAAAUUCUUAGAUAUGAUGUAGAACACCGAUUGCGAAGGCAGCUCACUAAAGUGUAACUGACGCUGAGGCACGAAAGCGUGGGGAUCAAACAGGAUUAGAUACCCGCGUAGUCC
rnacentral:rRNA from 1 species